UUUGGCCCAGAUCGUUUACCGUGAAAAAAUUAGAGUGUUCAAAGCAGGCAGAUCCAAUUUUCUGCCACCGAAUACAUUAGCAUGGGAUAAUGGAAUAGGACCCUGUCCUCCUAUUUUCAGUUGGUUUUGGCAGCGCGAGGACUAGGGUAAUGAUUAAUAGGGAUAGUUGGGGGCAUUAAUAUUUAAUUGUCAGAGGUGAAAUUCUUGGAUUUAUGAAAGAUUAACUUCUGCGAAAGCAUCURCCAAGGAUGUUUUCAUUAAUCAAGAACGAAAGUUAGGGGAUCGAAGACGAUCAGAUACCGUCGUAGUCUUAACCAWAAACGAUGCCGACCAGCGAUUAGGAGACGUUGAAUACAAAACACCACCAUCGGUUGCGGUCAUCCUUGGCGUCUCGGUUUCGGCCGGGGCGCGGGGAKGGCUWWRSCCCC
rnacentral:rRNA from 1 species